rnacentral:rRNA from 1 species
CCUACGGGUGGCUGCAGUGGGGAAUAUUGCACAAUGGGGGAAACCCUGAUGCAGCAACGCCGCGUGAGUGAAGAAGUAUUUCGGUAUGUAAAGCUCUAUCAGCAGGGAAGAAGAUGACGGUACCUGAGUAAGAAGCACCGGCUAACUACGUGCCAGCAGCCGCGGUAAUACGUAGGGGGCAAGCGUUAUCCGGAUUUACUGGGUGUAAAGGGUGCGCAGGCGGGGAGACAAGUCUGAAGUGAAAGCCAGGGGCUCAACCUCGGGACUGCUUUGGAUACUGGCUAACUGGAGUGCUGGAGAGGCAAGCGGAAUUCCUAGUGUAGCGGUGAAAUGCGUAGAUAUUAGGAGGAACACCAGUGGCGAAGGCGGCUUGCUGGACAGUAACUGACGUUGAGGCUCGAAAGCGUGGGGAGCAAACAGGAUUAGAUACCCGAGUAGUC